UACGUAGGUGGCAAGCGUUGUCCGGAUUUACUGGGCGUAAAGAGCGCGCAGGCGGUCGUGCAAGUCGCGUGUGAAAGCCCCCGGCUCAACUGGGGAGGGUCACGCGAUACUGUUCGACUCGAAGGCAGGAGAGGGAAGCGGAAUCCCCGGUGUAGUGGUGAAAUGCGUAGAUAUCGGGAGGAACACCAGUGGCGAAGGCGACUUUCUGGCCUGUUCUUGACGCUGAGGCGCGAAAGCUAGGGGAGCAAACGGG
rnacentral:rRNA from 1 species